CGGGUAGUCCAGGCGGCUCUCGGUGGCAGUGAGCAUGCGCUCCGGCUCCACCACGAACAUGUAGUAGAGGUUCCACAGCAGCAUCGACAGCAGCGGCAGAAACGUCAGGCCGUAGCCGAAGCCUCGGAAGGAGCGGCCCACGGCGAAGAGACAUGGUCUUGCUAUGUUGCCAGUCUGGGCUCAAACUUCUGGCCUUGAGUGAUUCUCUCACCUCAGACUGCUGAGUAGCUGGGAUUACAGAUGCGAGCCACCACACCUGGCUGCACAAACUUUUAAAAUACCAGUGUGCUUUUCUUGGAGAAAGAAGAAGAAAAGAAGAAAGAAGGAAGAAGAAGAAAGAAAGGAGGAAGAAGGGGGAAAAAGGAAGAAGGAAGAAGAAGAGCCAAUGUGAUAGUACAUUGAGUGAUUUUUUAAAAAGUGCAUAUAUGAGCAAAAAGUUAUUUUUCCCUUUUUUGAAGUACGGCAGCAUACUAUAUAGACUGUUCUCUGCAUUUUUUUUUUCCUCCAUUUAAUAUAACUUGGAGAUCAUUUUAUGUCAAUAUAAAAAUGGUUUUCUCAUUC
rnacentral:sRNA from 1 species